rnacentral:rRNA from 1 species
GACGAACGCUGGCGGCGUGCCUAAUACAUGCAAGUGGGACGCAAGGGAACACACUGUGCUUGCACACCGUGUUUUCUUGAGUCGCGAACGGGUGAGUAACGCGUAGGUAACCUGCCUAUUAGCGGGGGAUAACUAUUGGAAACGAUAGCUAAUACCGCAUAAUAUUAAUUAUUGCAUGAUAAUUGAUUGAAAGAUGCAAGCGCAUCACUAGUAGAUGGACCUGCGUUGUAUUAGCUAGUUGGUAAGGUAAGAGCUUACCAAGGCGACGAUACAUAGCCGACCUGAGAGGGUGAUCGGCCACACUGGGACUGAGACACGGCCCAGACUCCUACGGGAGGCAGCAGUAGGGAAUCUUCGGCAAUGGACGAAAGUCUGACCGAGCAACGCCGCGUGAGUGAAGAAGGUUUUCGGAUCGUAAAGCUCUGUUGUAAGUCAAGAACGUGUGUGAGAGUGGAAAGUUCACACAGUGACGGAGCUACCAGAAAGGC